UGGAGGUAUAGCUCAGUGGUAGAGCAAUCGGCUGCAGUCCGAUAGGUCAUCAGUUCAAUCCUGGUUGCCUCCUACGUUGUACCCCCCG